rnacentral:rRNA from 1 species
GUCCUGAUGACAGCAACGCCGCGUGAGGGACGAAGGCCUUCGGGUUGUAAACCUCUUUUAGCAGGGAAGAAGCGAAAGUGACGGUACCUGCAGAAAAAGCACCGGCUAACUACGUGCCAGCAGCCGCGGUAAUACGUAGGGUGCAAGCGUUGUCCGGAAUUAUUGGGCGUAAAGAGCUCGUAGGCGGUUUGUCACGUCUGCUGUGAAAUUUCGAGGCUCAACCUCGAACUUGCAGUGGGUACGGGCAGGCUAGAGUGCGGUAGGGGAGAUGGGAAUUCCUGGUGUAGCGGUGGAAUGCGCAGAUAUCAGGAGGAACACCAAUGGCGAAGGCACAUCUCUGGGCCGUAACUGACGCUGAGGAGCGAAAGCGUGGGGAGCAAACAGGAUUAGAUACCCUGGUAGUCCACGCCGUAAACGGUGGGUGCUAGCUGUGGGCCACAUUCCACGUGGUCCGUGACGAAGUUAACACAUUAAGCACCCCGCCUGGGGAGUACGGCCGCAAGGCU